AGGUGCUUACCAUUACCAUACAUAAUCUAAACAAGGAUGACUUGACAGCUAUCAAAGAUUCUAUUGGUCAUAGUUUGAAGUCUCUGCAUUCCUUAACAAGUGGUGUCGGAAGUCUCUGACUUAUAAGAAACGAAACUUCAAACGUAACUUUUUGCACUUCAUAGAUACAAUGGCUUUAAUCAGAAGACGAAAAAGUGGAAAAGCACUAUAUUUCCAUUCUUUAUAUUUCCAUGAAAAAGAUAUUUAUAUAUUCUGAAAUUUAAAUAAAUAUUUAAACAUUG